AUCCUGGUGCACGGGCAUUACGUAUCGAGUGAGGUUUAUGUACGUUUCUUUAUCUCUUCCUAUGUCCACAAAAGAACAACAACGCUGACUGCAUUUAGAACUGACGAUACGUAUUUGCUAGUUGAAAAGUGAGUCAAACCUGAUCAAAAUCAAGAAGUUCAUUUUUGCUAACUUUCCUGUUCUUUUAGCUACAUUUUUGACUGCUCCAAAUGGCCUUCGGGUCGCUUGGGAAUAUUUGGAACCACACAUUACCUUUUCAUCAUUAUCAGCGCCUUGAG
rnacentral:snRNA from 23 species